rnacentral:rRNA from 1 species
UCUGCUCAAUGUAUUUAUAAAUAGCUGCAUUUGUACUAAGGUAGCAUAAUAAUUUGCCUUUUAAUUGAAGGAUUGUAUGAAGGAAUUUACAAAAUUAAUUCUGUCUCAAUAAUAUAAAUAAAAAUUAAUCUAAAAGUGAAAAAGCUUUUAUUUAAUAAAUAGACAAGAAGACCCUGUUGAGCUUUAUCUAUUUUAGAUUUUGUUGGGGCAACAUAAAUUAUUAAUCAAUUUUUAUUUUUUAGAAUAAAUUCAUUUAUUAUAACUUAUUUUAUAAAAUACUAAAAAGUUACCACAGGGAUAACAGACUAAUUUUUUUUGAGAGUUCAAAUUAACAAAAAAGAUUGGCACCUCGAUGUUGGCUUAAGAUUUCAUUUUAAUGUAGAAAUUAAAAUUGUUGGUUUG